UCUGGUGAAAGUACGGGAGACAGAAUGAUGAUUUCUGCCCCGCAUCCACGCAUUUAUUUGCCUGUGAUUACACAGAGUGCAAUAUUUAGGUACAAUUAUUUUCGUUUUUGAAUUUGUACAUUGGUGAGAUGAGUGUUAGGGUUGGACAGGUGUGGUAGAUAUACAUGAUUUGGUAUUUUCUUAAUUAUAAACAUUGCGUGGAUGGUAACAUUAACAUAUGAUUUUUGUUUGUUUACAUUUUUAAGAGUUUCAGGCAAUUUGCAUGAGUCAAUUUAUUUGAGUUUAAAAUUGGUUUUAUUUAUAUUUUCAGGUACCCCCGCCAGAAGGACGGAAGCACCGAGCCUCAGGAAUCUUUGCCGGUGGGGAAUGGGAGCUGCUUGUCCCAGUUAUUUGCAGCCGCAGGCUGCGCGCAACUUUCGAAUUUGAGUUGGGCCAGCGUUUCUGGUAAGUAUUCAUGGUGGAAUUUUUGCCGGCUGUCAAAAGUGGUACUAUUUACCACCACAGCGGCCGUUGUUUUGCGUUUGAGUUUUCAUUUUUCAUUUUAGUUACAGCAGUUUCACCAGUCGUCAGAGUUUUAUUUUCAGUUCGGAUCCCGCGCCGCCGUCAAUUUAGGUUUUAAUUUGCAAGAGGCUGCCAACCCGCCCAUGGGUCUCAUUGCCAGCCUUCAAAUGGUCCAAAUCGCAGUGGAUUCCCGCGCCGCCGUCUAAUUCCAAGGUCCAGGGAGUUGCUGCAUUUCAGCUGGAGUUCUUCAGUGCGUAGUGGAUUCCCGCGUCGCCGUCUUAUUCCAGGGUCCAGGGAGUUGCUUCACUUCGGUUGGAGUUCAUCGUGUGUCGGCGAGAGCGUCGUCAUUGCUUUGGAGUCACCAGGGUCGUCGCUUCUGUGGGUCGUCUCGCCAGGGAAAGGAGGCAUCUUGUGGACGCCGGGCCAAGAUGCUUUGCUUAGGGCCGACGCUCGUAAGUGUCCAUGGAAUUGGAUGCAGAAAAUUGGAUUAGAUAAGUAUAUCUAUGUGUUUAGUUUUGUUUUGUCUGAUUUUUGUUUUGUCUUUUCUUUUGCAGGUCCAAUUCGUCCAGGAUUUUUCAUUUUUGUCCGGUGGGAUUUGGGAAGGAAUGCAUUGCCUUGGAUUUAUAAAGAGCAUCGUCGGAGUUUAUUUUGCUCUUUUUCAGGGAUAUUGUCAGUAUGUCGUUGCUACCAAGAAAAGGUGGAAUUUAAGGGUCAAGAUUUUGACCUUUUGUCGGGUCAACAGCGCCGCACUUGGAAUUCGUAAGGACGAGAGGGCUUCCCAACUUGGAAACGGCAUCAAAACAUUUUAGGUUUUUAAUGUUUUAGGUGCCGAAAUCGUCGUUUUUCAUUUCGCCGAGUCGGGAAAUGGGAUUUUGUUUGUAUGCCGUUGCUGCCAGAAAAAAGUCGAUUUCAAGGGUCGCGAAAUUGACCUUUUGCCGGGUCAGCAGCGGCGCACCUAGGGUUAAGAAGGACGAGGGUGCACCCCAACAUGGAGACGGCAUCCAAACAUUAUAGGAUUUUUAUGUUUUAGGUGACAAAAGCUUCGUUUUUCGUUGCGCCUAGCAGGGAAGGAUAUUGUCAGUGUUAUCGUUGCUACCAGAAAAAGUCGAAAUUCAAGGGUCACGAUUUUGACCUUUUGCCGGGUCGGCAGCGCCGCACCAAGGGUCAAUAAAAUCGAGGGGGCUUCCUGGAAUAGGGACGGCAUCAAAACAUUGUGGAUUUUUAUAUAUAUUAUUAUAUAUUGCUCUGUUUUAUGUUUUGAUUAAAGUAUUUCAAUCUUUAACGGA